rnacentral:lncRNA from 10 species
CUCCAACCCAGUGGGGAAGGGGAAAGCUAUUGAUUAAAACAAAAACUAUUUUGAGUUUUUGUUAUUAUGAGUUGAGCUCCUUAAUGAAGUUUUUCUAUUAUGGCUAUAUUGGCUGCACCCUAAAUGGGGUGUCCUGGGUGAACCAAAUGCUGGUGUAGGGAAAGGAAUGGGAAUGUUGAGGGGAUGGGAAGAGGCAUCAAGAACAGGAAUAUAAUUUUCCUACAGUGCUGUUCUGCUGAGACUACAGAGUACCUCAGGGAGUCAUGCAUCCUCUUCCUGUUGCUUUACUGAAUCUUAAAGAGUGAUACAGUACUAAUGAUGCCAUUCUAGCAACUGGAGCAGCUUCAGGGGAGAGAGCACAUUAAGGGUGCUGGGAUGGUAAUGGUUGGGAGGAAGCUGAAUGGUAGUAAGAGAGACAUUCUGUCCUGAGAACUCUGAUCCAGGAUCUGAAUGAUGCAGUGUCGCAAUCCCAUUUUAUAAAUGAGGCAACCAAAACUCGAACAGGACCAUAUUGCGACUGAAACAAGGCAUAACAGGUCUUUGACUGGCUAUCCUGUGGAUGUGGACUCAGGCUAGCCUGCGCAAAGUGAAAGACAGGCAAUUAGAUUGAAAAAUACCUGUGAUUCAAAGAAGUCACAAGUCACAGAGACAAACUUUUCCCAGUGUGUUCGAGUCAGAGAACCUUUGCAAAGACCAACAGGCUAAAAGAGAAAAUACAAUGUCAUCUUGAUGCAGAUGAGCAGGUAACCAUGGAAGUCGUGAGCUGAGGCUGCAGAGUCUAGAGCCAGAGUGUGGAAUAAACUUGGGUCUCAAAUCACCCCUGGAGCAAAGCACCCAUCUAAUCAGGAACUUCUACUUUCAACUUUACAUGCGUGAGAAAUGAACUUCUAUCAUGUUAGAGAAAUCCUUACACGGCGCCCUUGAGAGCUUUCAUACUGCAAGUCAUCCAUUUUCCUCCCCUCAAACCUGGCAUCGGAGUUUAUUGAAACAAAGCAAAAUAAAACAAAUAGACAAAGCUCUACCUCCAUCACUUCUGCAGUCUACAUUAACCCCACGUCCAGAAUAUUCACACCUCAGGUCUUUUUCUCACAAUUGAAACACUGGUUCAGAGCCUAACGGAAGGUCUUGGAGGUCCAGUCUAAUUCCCCUCCCCAGGAAGAGGGAUGAGCCUUUGUGGCUGCCUCCAUAAAUGAAAAUGCGAUGGAAAGGAUGCUGCACGACUUAUGAGGCUAAGUCAUAAGAAGAACUAAAGCUUCUACCCAUUUCCACUUCCUUUUGGGAAACGUGUCUUGGGAGCCCUGAGCCAAUAUGUAAGAAGUCCAGCUAUGUAUAGCCACCAUGCUGCAGAAACCACACAGAGAUAAAGAUUCGUGAGGAGUCUCCCCAUUUCCAGUUCCCAGCUGCUUGAGUCCUCCCACCUCCCAGAAUGAACUGUCAGACAUGUGAGUAGAAAUGACUCCAGACCCAGCCUUCAAGCUGUUGUCCCAGCUGACACCAAGUAGAGCAAAGGAGUUGUCUCCAUCAGUCUAGCUCAUAUUGCAGAUUUGUGAGAAAAAAACAAAUGUUGCUGCGUUAAGCCAGUAAAUGCUAGGAUAAUUUGUUAUAUGACAAUGACAAGAGUAACCAGGACACCACCCUUGUGUUAUCAUUACGUUCUCCCCUUGCUUCUUGUGAUGCCCUUGCUUUUCUUCUCUACCAGUUGCUGAGAAUUAGAGGAAGACCUUUGCUCCCACCAAUGUCAACAUUUCUUUACCAGAAAACACAGAGGCAUUUAACUCAUAUUUCGAAGACUUACAGCUUCUUAUAAUGGCCCUGGUGGUUAUACUUUUUGUUCUACUGACUCUAUUUUGUUACAGUUACUCUGCCCACAAAGUGCAAGACCCUUUGUGAUUAUGUUGGGGGACAUCAAUUCAAAUGACACCGUGAUAGCAUUACUGUCAAAUCAUGCUUCCCUCUCAAUGCUGUUGAUGAAGCUGGUGUACCCCAACCCUGUUCUUACAGGUUAAGUUGCUUUUUCCCACUUGAAACAUUGUACAACAGCCAAAAGCUUAUCUGGUCAGUUUUAAUGCGUCCUGCCCCUUCCUAGGACUUAUUGCAAUGACAAACAUAUAAGAGCUGUGAAAACUCUGUGACUUACACACAGUAGGCACCUGGUGUUUUAAGUGCUCUUCCUGAAAUGCUCACUGACAAUAAAACUAUUGAACAGAUCAGGACUGAAAACAUAGCUUUGUUUUGUGCCAGCAAAGACUCUCUUCUCUCCUUUACAGGUUGACAUUGAGCCAUUAAUCAACAGUAUGUUCAACAGUAACUAGUGAGUUAUGAAUCCAACUAUGUGCCUCUAUUU